CAGGGAUUGCCCUAGUAACGGCGAGUGAAGCGGCAACAGCUCAAAUUUGAAAGCUGGCCUUCGGGUCCGCAUUGUAAUUUGUAGAGGAUGCUUUGGGUGAAACGCCAGUCUAAGUUCCUUGGAACAGGACGUCAUAGAGGGUGAGAAUCCCGUAUGUGACUGGAAAUGUUAACCUAUGUAAAGCUCCUUCGACGAGUCGAGUUGUUUGGGAAUGCAGCUCUAAAUGGGAGGUAAAUUUCUUCUAAAGCUAAAUAUUGGCGAGAGACCGAUAGCGCACAAGUAGAGUGAUCGAAAGAUGAAAAGCACUUUGGAAAGAGAGUUAAAAAGCACGUGAAAUUGUUGAAAGGGAAGCGCUUGCAAUCAGACUUGUUUAAACUGUUCGGCCGGUCUUCUGACCGGUUUACUCAGUUUGGACAGGCCAGCAUCAGUUUCGGCGGCCGGAUAAAGGCUCUGGGAAUGUGGCCUUCACUUCGGUGAAGGUGUUAUAGCCCAGGGUGUAAUACGGCCAGCCGGGACUGAGGUCCGCGCUUCGGCUAGGAUGCUGGCGUAAUGGUUGUAAGCGAC
rnacentral:rRNA from 1 species